rnacentral:tRNA from 1 species
GUGGCUGUAGCUCAGUUGGUUAGAGUACUAGGUUGUGGCCCUAGGGGUCGUGGGUUCGAGUCCCAUCAGCCACCCCA